UGAGGACACAUCAUGGAAGCAUGUAACCGAAGUUCGUUCUUAUCACUUGUAGCCGAAUCCAAUUGUUUCCGUUCAUGCUUAUUGCUUCACAGCCUCAUCUUUAUUUCAUUGCUUCCCAUUCCUUAAUUUGUUGCAUUUAAAUCACUGCUACCUCACAUUCACUCACCCUUUCUCUCUUUUUCCUUCAUCAUCACACACACUGUGCCUCCAACAUGACAUUGACACAUCCAUCCAUUGCUUCCAUGCCAUCAUCAUCAUCACCAUCGCCAACAACAACAGCACACUUCACCUUUCCAAACUCCAAAUUCUGCUCCUCUUUCCCCUUCUCAUUCUCCAGACCCUCACUUCCAUUCCCUUCCCUCUCCCACGACGUCGUUUCCAACUCCCUCAACAAAUUCCAUUCCUACAUCAACUCCCUGCGCGGUUCUGCUUCCGUCGAAGACCAAGAGUGGGAUUGGGAUCGAUGGCGCCGCCAUUUCCACGAAGUCGAUCAACAAGAGCGUCUUCUCCACACUCUCAAGUCUCACUUAGGUGAUGCUGUGCGUUUCGAGGAUUAUGAAGACGCUGCUACGCUUAAGGUCGCCAUUGCAGCUGUAGCUGCCAAUGACACUGUUGGAACAGUCAUAUCUCAUCUCAAUUGUGCCGUAGAGGAAGAGCGGUACAGUGAUGCAGCUUUCUUAAGAGAUGAAGCUGGUACUGGACUUGUGGGUUGGUGGGCUGGAAUGUCAAAAGACAUUAAUGACCCACAUGGUCUAAUUAUUCGCAUAACUCCAGAGCACGGAAGAUAUGUGGCAAGGAGUUAUAAUCCUAGGCAACUUAUUUCUUCUGCAGCUGGUAGUCCUCUAUUUGAAAUUUUUCUCACAAAGAAUAAGAAAGAUGAAUUUAAGUCAAAGGUUGUGUACUUAAAGAGGAGAACAGCAUCCUCUAAAGCAUUGGAUGCUGCUGAGAGAUUGAGUUCAUUUGAGUCACCUGAAGAUAGUAGUGAGCUAUUUGUUGGGAGCACUGAUGAUCCAUCUGAGGGAAUGCCUGGAUUUCAGAAUUUCUUGAAAGAUACAAUUCCUGGAGUAGAUUUGAAGGCUUUUAAAGUGACAACUCCAGACAAGGUAGACAAGGAUAUAAUAUCUAAGAUGAUUGAACAGAUAACUGAGGAAGAAGGGGAUGAAGAUGAAAAUGAAGAUGCAGAUGCAGAUGAAUUUGUUGAUAGGAACAAUGAUACAGAGAAUCCAGAACCAAAAGAUAUCAAGUCUCAAACUGAUGCUGAUAUUGAAUUAAAUUCUAGUCUGGAAACUUUUGAACGUGAAGAACAAAGUAAAAUUGCAGGCAAAGUUGUCAUUGGUGGUCUUGUUCAGAAACUUUCCAGCAGUUUGACAACGAGAGAUUUGCUUCGAGUUCCUGCAAAGCUGGAGACAACUGGACAAGGUUCAUUUUCCUUAACCAUAGAAAAAGAAGUCAAUCAACAGGUUGGUCAUGGCAAAGGGAAAUCUUCACCAGAUAAAUCAGCAAAGCUUCGAGGUCAACUUAGUGUUGAUCGUGUUAUGUCUAAUCUUGCUAAGUUCAUUGGAAGGGGGAAGGUACCCUCGAAGGUUCUGAAAGAUGUGGGAGAAUUAGUAAGUCUAAGUCCUAGCCGGGCUCAGAACCAUGAACAAUUGUCUGGAUCAACAAUUUUCAGUCGCAUUGAAAUACCAACUUCUUUAGAUCCUUUAAAUGGUUUAUACAUUGGUUCACUUGGGCUUUACUCCUCUGAAGUAAUUCAACUGAGCUGUAGAUAUGGCCAUUGGCAAGAAGAUGAUGGGGCUAAGAAGCCUUCCGAUUUUGAAUUUUAUGAGUAUGUGGAAGCUUUGAAACUGACUGGCGAUCCUUAUGUACCAGCUGGCCAGGUAGCAUUUCGAGCAAAAGUUGGAAAGAGGUACCAGCUUCCUCAUGAGGGAAUAAUUCCAAAGGAGUUUGGUUUGAUUGCACGCUAUAAAGGUCAAGGGAGGCUUGCAGAGCCAAGAUUUCAGAAUCCUCGAUGGGUUGACGGUGAACUUGUGAUUCUAGAUGGAAACGCUUACAUCAAAGCAGGGCCUAUUGUUGGAUUUGUGUGCUGGGUCCCUAAGCAUCCUUUUCUGGUCUUCUUCAAUCGGCUGAGGCUUCAACAAUAGGGUUUUGUUGUAUAUAAUGUCAACUUGUAAAUUCUCUCUACAGAUUUAGUUGGUUUCACGAAGUUGAGUGGAUGAAAAUCGUGUAUGUUUGGUGCAGCAGUGAGUUGAAAAAUAAUGGUGUCCAAAUCCACAAUGAGUGCAAAGCUACAUUAGAUCCUGGCAAGGUUUGAGAAGAAAUUACCUUUCUACUUCUGGUAGUGAUGGCUGACAUGCUAAUACUUCUAGGAUUUGGACAUUAUUACUAGACAAUGAGUUUGGAGGCCUUUUUGAUAAUUGUCUUGCCUGUUUAGCAAGCUUUCCUCUUGUGCUUCCAAAUUUUAUGGAGGCAUCCUUUGUUUCUAAAAUUAUGUAGUCUUCUAGACAAAAGAAGAAAUUUUCAAAGUCAAUUUUCCAUUGUAAUUUCGGGUGAAGACUUUUUUUCAACAGGCAUUUAAGAUGAAUUUCUAUAUUAAUACCCCCUUAGUGUGUGAGGAGCUUGGUGUACUUGAUCUCUUUAGGAGAAGUUUGGAUGAUUCAUCGAUCCUAGGUUGUAUGCGUUAGAAUAAGGAUUGUUUUGUUGCUUUGUAUAAUUGUUGAUAUAGUUCACAUGAAACCUCAUAGUUAAUGUUACUGUGUACCCAAACAAGUCACAUAUCAAGUUAAGUGCCUCCAUUGGAUUAAUUUUUAGAGGGCCACGUUGUUGACUGAAAAUUGCUAUUUGUUGGCUUAUGAACUUAUUUUGAGCCAAACUAGCGUAGCAAGGUAUAUAUACCUAUGUGACUCCUCUUUUGGUUUGUUUUUCUACUUGUACAUUACUUUUGUUUUCUGACAUUUUCUCAAUUGUUUCAACACUUUCAUAUGCGACUUCAAAUUGUAUGAUCCUCCACAAGAAGCAUCCAUCAAUAUCUUUGUUGAGAAGUAGCGCCUCAUAAAAGGAUUCAAAUAGAAUCCUCUAUAAUAUGACAUGAUGACAGUCAGAGGAUUCGCCCUCUAUUUGAUGAAAAGUCUUUGAGUACACUUCUCAUCUUGGAUGAUUUUGUGGAUGACAAGUAGUUGUCCACAAAUUUCAUUGUCAACACUUCCCCAAGUUGUGAUACUCCCAUGUGGUAGAUAUUUGAGUCACUGCUUAGCUUUUGGCCUAAAUCCUUGGAUCCGCACCGUAUCACAAAGUUGUAUGAAUAUCUCUAAGAUCCUCCAUGAAAACAACUCAAAAAAACUAUUUGCUUGAAUCACCUGUAUUAGCCCUGGUGGAAUUUUGUGAUCGUGGCCAUCUAUUGGGGUGUCACGAUGCUUCGUAGAUAUAAAAGUUCUUGGCACAUUAUAGUCUCUCAAUCUUAUCUUCCGGGUGUUGGUGGCAGUACCAUCAUUGCCAAUUAUUUGCGACCCCUUCAUUAUCUUUGUGAUUAAUGAAAAUCUUCGUUGUUAGUCAUCUUUUCUUUUUGAUGAUCGAGGAAAUGGUUGAUUGUUAGAAGCACCGUUAUUAAACUUGGACCAGACCGUCUAGUUCAAUUGGAAACUAGAAUCGUGAUCAGUCUUGUCAUUACAUAUGACAGGAUUUUCAGAAUCAAAUCCGUCAUCGAUUGAGUUAGAGUAUUAAGUCUUGGGUCAUUAAUCAAAUUGAGGGAUCACUAAUUAAAUCAAAUGAAUCAAUAUAUAUUAAAUAUAUAAAAUUUUAUACCACUUCUCUAAAGCUAUAUAUAUAUUUUUUUUGACAUCUCCAAUACUAUAUCUUAAUAUAUUCAAUAUAUAUUGAUUCAUGUUAAUAACUUGUUAACUUGACCAAUAAUCCAUGGACUCAGUGCUCUAUCUCAUUCUGAUAUCAUUGGUAGAAGAUUAAACCAUCUUUUGAUUUGCCUUUUUUUAUUUCUUCGUUUGAAUAGGAUAUAGUAUUCCAUGCAUAAACCAUCAACAAAAAAUUAGAUAGAAUUGACGUAGUAGACCUAUUAAUAUAAAGAAAUAGAAUAACAAACAUUACAAAGAAGAUGGAGGCUACCAUGUGCGACACCACUUUUUUGGAUGAUGGGAUUCAUCUCAACCCUGCAAUCUUAUAAUACACCACCCGUACCAGAUUUUAUUUUAUAUUCAUUUUCUCUUCCUCCUCCUCACUGCAAUGUUUUGGGUCAACCACUGCAAAUCGUCGCCGCUUUCCCUUCAUGAAACAUGGCAGAAAACAAAGCAGGAUGAACACUCCAGCAGAGAAUCCAGUUAUCAACGCGCAACGCUUCUUCUCGUACAGUUGCCAGAUCAAACGUAGGCGUUGUGCACGACGUGCUCUGGGUGCCGCAGGUCCGAAGACAGGUUGCGCGAGACUGCAUUGCACAAAGAUGAUUUGGCCGCGGAGGUUAAGGUUAGAGGCAAAGGAAGAAGUUGAAAAAGGAAACAACGUUGGUGUCACCACCGAUCGAGAUCUAAGCUAGGAUAAGUAGUCACUCCACUAUGGGUCUCUUGUUUUCGAUGCCUUGUCAGGCGCAAAAGCGGAGGCCGCACAUGGAUGAUGGAUAGGAGAAGUCGAGGUGGUUGUUGACAUUGUCUUUUUGUCUGAAGCUGAAGAUGACGGUGUGCGAGUUUGGAGCGAUGUGCGCUUGAUGCGAGAGGGGAGGCAGCGGGUGGGAGGUGGAGGGUGUACCAAGUUGAUUCACCCCGACAUGAGAAAUUAAAGUAUUUACCAUAGAUUUAAAUCCAAUGGUUAGAAAUAGUGGGACAUGGUGGAACACUUACAAAAGUGAAGUGGUCCAUGUAUGAUGUAACGUCGGUCUAAAAAGAAAUUUUAAAAGAAAUGUAAAAUUCUAACAUGAAGUACCUAAUUAGGUGUCUCAUGGAUGAAGCAGUAAUUUUUAUCAUUGGAUUUGGAUAUAUUAUUUAAAAAUUGAAUAGCUAAAAUUUGUAACAGCAAAUCUAAGAUUUUAAUUAAAUAAUUUGAUAUUUUUAUUUAAAAUAAUAUAAUUAAGCUAUAAUUAAUGUAUUAUUAGAUGAAAUUAAUUAGUAUUUCAAGGAUUAAUCGGAAGGUUUUGGUUUUCUUCCAAAUCCUAACUCCCAAACCCUCCAAUUUGCAUCGGUGGGACUUCUAACUCCAACGGGUUGAGUGAGAUGUAGAGCUUCCAUUGCCUGGGAAGAGGGAGAUAAUGAGCAAACCAAAGAUAGAGAGUAGCAAUAAAAGGGAGAAGAGAAAAAAGAGUGUAUGGAAGUGAAUGUGUGAUAAUGGCGCUAGUAGAGUAUGAGGAAAAGGGAAAUGAGGGAAAAGAAAAGAGAAAGAAAAGAAGAAAACGGUCUCAAACAGUAGAACACUACCUUACCAAAAAGAAAGGGGAAGAGAUAAAUGUAUGAAAAGAGGAGAUGGUGGUGCAAGUGACGCUGUCACUACUAGGGUUGAGUGUGAGAGACGCAAAGAAUGUGGAUGAGAAGCAUUGGUGCAACAUACAAUAGCCAUAAAUGGUUGUUGUACUGUUUCAUUAAUGCUUCGACAACUAUUUUUUCCCCUCAAUUUUUAUUUGUUUGCAUUGUUAUGUAUGAUUGAGGCACUAGUUAUGAGUUUGGAGUCUUAUAGGUUUUGUAUUUAUUGUGGUUUUUCAAUUAUGUUGAAUGCCAUGAGUUGCAGUGUUGAAUUUGG